GACGAACGCUGGCGGCAUGCCUAACACAUGCAAGUCGAACGGAACUUUUUCAAUUGAUUUCUUCGGAAUGAUUUUGGCUAAGUUUAGUGGCGGACGGGUGAGUAACGCGUGAGUAACCUGCCUUCGAGAGGGGGAAUAACAAUCUGAAAAGAUUGCUAAUACCGCAUAACAUAGUGAGGUCGCAUGGCUUUGCUAUCAAAGNUUUAUCGCUCGAAGAUGGACUCGCGUCCGAUUAGUUAGUUGGUGAGGUAACGGCUCACCAAGACCACGAUCGGUAGCCGGACUGAGAGGUUGAACGGCCACAUUGGGACUGAGACACGGCCCAGACUCCUACGGGAGGCAGCAGUGGGGGAUAUUGCGCAAUGGGGGCAACCCUGACGCAGCAAUGCCGCGUGAAGGAUGAAGGUUUUCGGAUUGAAACCUAGUUAUCAGGGAC
rnacentral:rRNA from 1 species